rnacentral:ncRNA from 2 species
UACCGAGUCCUGGGGAGUCGCGUGACUGAGAAUAAAACCCAUUGAACCUGAUCUGAUUAAUACCAGCGAAGGAAGUGACGAGCACAAAACGA